ACAACAUCAAUAAUAAUAUUAAGACAUAAACCAUAGACGGACCGUGACUAACAAACAUUUCAACAGCAAGUCAACAUAACAUUAAUUUAGUACAGAAAAAUAAUAACUAGCAACUCACCCGCACUUGCGAGAUACACUCAAACUCAAGUCAGUCCUUUCUAAAAUCUGCCAAGAAGAAGGAGUCUGUGAAUCUUGCUCCUCUGUGUGAAAUUCGUUUCCUUUCACGUAGCUAAUCAUGGCAGAUGGAGAGGAAAAGGAUAAGGAUAAUGCCAAGUGGUCGUUUUGGUUAGAAUUAGCCAAGACUGUCUUAAUAUUUUUGGCUGUGUGUGGGUUCGGGGCUAUGUUUUUGGGUUAUAACGUCAGCACGUGUGUGUACGCUGCCGCCGGAAUGAAAAUGUGCUGGAUGGCUUCCCAACAGUUGAUAAAGGCGUGAUUCACCAUUCCGCUCUCCCAACAAAAGACUAUAUACUCUUCAUAGUCUUUGUUUCUAAAUACAAGUCCAUCAGUGUCGCCCCUUCAUCCCUCUGAAAUUAUUACGAGAGCGAAGAUGACUGCGGGACACGAAGAGCGAAGAUGACUACGGGACGCGAAGGUGAUGGUGAGAUGCGUGAUGUCAAGAGGAUGGCGAGGGACGUGAUGUCAACAGGAUGUCGAUAGGCGUCAUGAGGGACGUGAUGUCACUGAUUCAUAGACGUCAUGAGGGAUGCGAUGUCACUGAUUCACGUGGUGCAUGUGGACCUAGGACGUCAAUGCGUGUUUAAGCGUUUGUUAAAUAUUCAAAUUUUGUGUCGCACGAUCAGAAAUAUAACCAUAACAAUUCAGAAAUAUAUGAAGAAACUUUAAUGGUACGAUAUGAAAUUAAGACCCAUUCGUAACAGCACUUACCGGAUUAUAUUCCUUUUUUUUCAUUUGAAAUUUAUGAACGUCAAUUUACAGCACGUGACACUGUACCCAAUAAAUGUAAAUGUUAAAA
rnacentral:lncRNA from 1 species